GACGAACGCUGGCGGCGUGCUUAACACAUGCAAGUCGAACGGAAAGGCCCUGCUUUUGUGGGGUGCUCGAGUGGCGAACGGGUGAGUAACACGUGAGUAACCUGCCCUUGACUUUGGGAUAACUUCAGGAAACUGGGGCUAAUACCGGAUAGGAGCUCCUGCUGCAUGGUGGGGGUUGGAAAGUUUCGGCGGUUGGGGAUGGACUCGCGGCUUAUCAGCUUGUUGGUGGGGUAGUGGCUUACCAAGGCUUUGACGGGUAGCCGGCCUGAGAGGGUGACCGGCCACAUGGGGACGGGGAUACGGCCCAGACUCCUACGGGAGGAAGCAGUGGGGAAUAUUGCACAAGGGGCGGAAGCCUGAUGCAGCAACGCCGCGUGCGGGAUGACGGCCUUCGGGUUGUAAACCGCUUUCGCCUGUGACGAGGCGUGAGGGAGGGUAAUGGUAAAGAAGCACCGGCUAACUACGUG
rnacentral:rRNA from 1 species